rnacentral:miRNA from 1 species
GCGAACUCUGGUAAGCUGACACAUCCCGGCCAAUCUCCGGCAGACCCUCCCUCCCUCCUCCUGGACAGCAUCCAUGUUGAAGCUGCCUUCAACAUGGAUGCUGUCCAGGAAGUAGGAGGGUCUGGGAGGGAGGGUCUGCCGGAGAUUGGCUGGGAUGUGUCAGCUGACUGGAGUU